AAGCGCUUGCGGCUAGACGUGCCCGCGGUUGAUCAUCCAGGCUCCGGCCUGGUGCACUCCUCCGCGGGCAGGCCAGCAUCAGUUCGGGCGGUCGGAUAAAGGCCUCUGUCACGUACCACCCCUCGGGGUGGCCUUAUAGGGGAGGCGCAACACGGCCAGCCCGGACUGAGGUUCCGCGCAUCUGCUAGGAUGCUGGCGUAAUAGCAGCAAGCGG
rnacentral:rRNA from 1 species